CCUACGUGAGGCAGCAGUGAGGAAUAUUGGUCAAUGGCCGGAAGGCUGAACCAGCCAUGCCGCGUGAAGGUCAGUGCCCUAUGGGCGUUAAACUUCUUUUGUGCGGGAGCAAUAAUGGUCACGUGUGACCAGACGAGAGUACCGUACGAGUAAGCAUCGUCUAACUCAGUUCCAGCACCCGCGGGAAUACGGGGUCUGCGAGCGGUAUCCGGAUUUAUUUGGUUUAAAGGAUGCGUAGGCUGUGAGGUAAGUCAGCGGGCAAAUGCCCCCGCUCAACGGGGUGAAGUGACAUUGAUACUGCCUUGCUGGAAUGCGGAUGCCGUGGGCGGAAUGCGUGGUGUAGCGGUGAAAUGCUUAGAUAUCACGAAGAACGCCGAUUGCGAAGGCAGCUCACUGGACUGCAACUGACACUGAGGCUCGAAAGUGUGGGUAUCAAACAGGAUUAGAUACCCUUGUAGUC
rnacentral:rRNA from 1 species